rnacentral:rRNA from 1 species
GGGCCCGCACAAGCGGUGGAGUAUGUGGUUUAAUUCGAUGCAACGCGAAGAACCUUACCAGGGUUUGACAUCCUGCGAAUCUCUUGGAAACGAGAGAGUGCCUUCGGGAACGCAGUGACAGGUGGUGCAUGGCUGUCGUCAGCUCGUGUCGUGAGAUGUUGGGUUAAGUCCCGCAACGAGCGCAACCCACAUCCCUAGUUGCCAGCAGUUCGGCUGGGCACUCUAUGGAAACUGCCCGUGAUAAGCGGGAGGAAGGUGUGGAUGACGUCAAGUCCUCAUGGCCCUUACGGGUUGGGCUACACACGUGCUACAAUGGCAAGUACAACGAGUCGCAAUACCGCGAGGUGGAG